rnacentral:rRNA from 1 species
UACGUAGGGGGCUAGCGUUGUCCGGAAUCAUUGGGCGUAAAGCGCGCGUAGGCGGCCCGGUAAGUCCGCUGUAAAAGUCAAAGGCUCAACCUUUGAAUGUCAGUGGAUACUGCCGGGCUAGAGUCCGGAAGAGGCGAGUGGAAUUCCUGGUGUAGCGGUGAAAUGCGUAGAGAUUUGGAGGAACACCAGUGGCGAAGGCGACUUUCUGGUCUGUAACUGACACUGAGGCGCGAAAGCGUGGGGAGCGAACAGG